rnacentral:lncRNA from 1 species
AAGAAAAAUGGAAGGUGAAGCCACCAAGUAGCCUCUGACAUGCUUUGGCAUCUUCCUCUCCCUCGACUGGCGCCCGGCUGCGGACCCUACAGGCUUUAUGCCCUUAGCCUUUGAGUUUUGCUUAUAAACACAGGAUCUUGUCCCUUUCAGCUUUAUAUUUAUUUGAUUUUAUUAUUUGCCCCUCCUCCACCUUCCCUAAGCCAGACUUGAAGAAGAAAUGUUUUAUGUCAGUGGGCAGCUGUUUUAAAAGUUAUUGAAAAUAAAUAAUGUAGGGUUUUACGUUUCAGCUCAAUUCUGAACAUCUUUAGGACCUCCAGCCUCUGGCGGGAUGCUCAUUGUUUUCCAGUGAACUUGUGGAAGUGCAGAGAAAGUAGUAAAGGGCCAUGUAGGUGUUAGCAACCCUAUGAAUUCUUGCUGAUUGACAAAUUCAGUUUUGUGACCGUGUGUCUGCACAGGUGGUAUUUUACAUGCUGCUGUCACACUGUGGUUGCUCCUGUUGAUUGCAGUUUUUUCAUUCGCUUUUCCAGUUACUAUUUCUGUCUUUUGGGUGGCUCUCUAUUGAUCCUUAAUCCUAAUUUACUGCAGAUACUUGGGUGAUCAGUUUUGGAAGGAUUUUUAUAGGAGCUCAGAUGCUGAGGCAGAAAAUAUGCCAAUAAAAUGUAAAUGGGAGAGAAAGAAAGUGAAAAACCAAACUUUAAACCUUAUCUAAAUAGAGCUCACUAUUUUAAUUGCCUGGAAUAAGUAUGCCCUCUUUAACAUGCACUAGUAAUUUUACACUUUUAUGGAAUAUUCUGUAAAGGAAUAAUAAGCCUGUUCUUUGCCAGAGUUGUUUUGUUUAAGUUAGAUCCUCUGGAGAAAAAUUCAAGAGGAGAAGCUGCGGAGCGUAAUUUUUUUUAAGUUUCUUUCUGGCCUUGGUUUUGAUUAAAACAUUGUGCAAAGUUCCCCCAGUGAUGUCGUCAAGACCACACUCUGCUUUUCUUACUGCAGAGGCAAGUGUUAACCUCUCCUGAGCAUUUUCCCUUUUUCAGUUCUUAUCAUUGCCAGAUGCGCAAUUAAAUGGUCCCUUCACCUUUAUUGUAGUUUUUGGGGCAUGGUAUUGGAAUUAUUUUUCUUGUUUAUGUACACUGUAGCAGUUGUGGUCUCCAUAUGCUUAUUUGGUUACAUAGCUCUUAAAACCCAGCUGAGAGAUGCAAACUGGUGGGGAAAAAUCACCACUGGUCCCUCUUUAUCUCCUUUUAACCCUCAAAGGGGUAAAUAUGUUUCUAAGCAUCUUUCAGUGAUCAGGCUAUACAUAUACAUAUAUAUACACAUAUACAUAUACACACACACACACACACACACACAUAUAUAUACAUUUUUUUUUUUUUUUUGCUUUCGCAAAAAAGCCUACGGAGGUUCCCAGGCUAGGGGUCUAAUUGGAGCUGUAGCCGUCGCCUACACCACAGCCACAGCAACGCCAGAUCCGAGCCGCACCUGCAACCUAUACCACAGCUCACGGCAACACCGGAUCCUUAACCCACUGAGCAAGGCCAGGGAUUGAACCUGCAACUUCAUGGUUCCUAGUUGGAUUUGUUAACCACUGAGCCAUGACAGGAACUUCCAGGCAAUAUUUUUGUAUAGUUCCUCAGUAUCAAGAAUGAAGAGGCCUAAACUAUUGAACUUAACCUUGUCACUUAAAAAGCAUUGGGCUAUUGAGAUAGCACCUUUUAGGUAAGAUACCAUAGGAAGAUAAGUUACAAGCUGAGAUGUAGUGAAAUCAAUAUAUGUAGAAACUAGGCUUUUUGUGUUUGGGGAAGGGGACACGUUAGAAUAUCUUGACAUAUAUAUAUAUAUAAAGAAAACAACUUCAAAGAACACUGGGGUUUAAUAAUUUAACUUAAAGUCAUACAUUGAAUUGAAUUAAUUUUUCAUAAUGCUGUGGUUAGAGAAAACCCAAAUAUCCUGUUUUAUGAGAAUCUGGGGUAUGGACAGUAGAAAGUACUAAUAUGCCACCAUCGCUGAAAGACUCACAGAAAUAAAACCGCUAGGAUGCACAUGCUUUUUGGCAUGAUUUUUUAAACUUUCCCAUGAAAGCUAUAUAUAAAUAAUUAUAAAGACAAUAUAUAUUUGUCUUUUGUCUUUUUAGGGCCACAGCCAAGGCAUAUGGAGGUUCCCAGGCUAGAGGUCAAAUCAGAGCUGCAGCUGCCAGCCUGCGCCACAGCCAUAGCAACGCCAGAUCCAAACCAUGUCUGUGACCUACCAGAUCCUUAACCCACUGAGCAAGGCCAGGGAUCAAACCUGUGUCCUCAUGGAUACCAGUCGGGUUUGGUGACCACUGAGCCAUGACAGCAUCUCCCAAAAUGAUAUAUUUUUAAUGUGUGACUGUUCUGUCUAAUAGGAAGCAAGGAAAUUGGCUUUAAAGGAGAGGAGUCUAUCCCAUCCCAUUAGAAUCAUGAAACUUUCCAUUUCCACUUGUUCAGAGUGUUUUAUGUUGUUUUGUUUUCUUUGCCUGUUUUUGUCAGAAAGUGUGCAAAGCAGGCGGGGUUGUCCCUAAGACUAAGAGCAUGUGAACCCCAAUACCCUUUGCUUACAGUGGCCGCCGUGUGGAAGGUCACGCAUCCUUAACAGAGUCUGUAGUGAAGCAGCACAUGUGGGAGGAUCAGGGGAGCAUCUCUCCGUCCGAAAGGCUUUAGAGAGGGGGUUGCACAUAACACAUGACCCUGCGUCUUAAACUUGCCCUCUUCCAUUCUGCCUGCGUCUCAGAGAAGAAAGUUUCGGGGGUUUUUCUAUUGAUUCCAAAAGCAUGUGUGAGAGGUUCUGUAUUACUUAUGAUAAAGAAGAUGAAAAUAAAUGCAUUUAUUAUAAGCCAAGUUUAAGUCAGGAAAAGUGAGGGUACUUUAAAAGUUAGCAGACUAUUCCUUUGCCUGGUUCUAUAUUCCAAGUGCACAUGUAGGUUGGAUUAGGGCAGUUGUUGAUAGAUUGAUAGAUUUCAGCUCAUCCCCCUUUCAGCAAAUCUAAUGGUACUUUAUUGCACUUUACUUUGGCUCUGCAAGGGUUCUCCAUAUUCUUAAAAUCCACUGCAGAGCGUUUGCACAGACGGGGGGAGAUCUCUGUCAGUGAUAGGGAAGCUGAUCAACGUCAAAGCUUCUUGGUGCUGUUGGGGAACUUGGCAGAGAGUAGGCUCAUGGCAGCAGGAGAUAUUUCUGUGCACUUUUCAUGAGUCUCAUGGGACACUUGUAAAUGAUUUUGGUGGUUCCUUCUCACCCUUUUGUUCCAUUUUUGUCUGAACUGAAUAUCGAUGCAACUGGGGCGUAGAAGCAAUGCCAAGUAGUUCUGCUGGGAGCCACCUGGGAAGUCCAACACAACACUAGCAUAGAUAUGCUGCUCGCCCUCAAAGUGCUGGAGUUGACUGGUGAUGAGGUAUGAAGCUGAGGCUCCUGAGUCCGUCUUCUAUUAGAUAAAACUCUGCUUUUUUGCCGUCUACUUAAUAGCAUGUUACCUUCCUCAUUUUCACGUCUUCUAAGUUUGUGGAAUCUCUCUAAUUCUUAAAAAUAUAGCUAUUAAAAAUGAAAAGCAGGCUGAAGUUGUAGAUACUAAACUGAAUUACCCUUUUUUCCCCUAUUCUCAUCCUUGAUCCUUGCCCAUUCCCUAAAGCUUAUAAAUAUUUUGUGGAAGAGCUGUGGGGGGUAUAAGAAACAAAAUGUUUUUGUAAAAAUAUUUACCAAGAGAAUAUGGAUACAGAGAAUAAAAUGAAGAAAACAAAACAUCUUAGCCUAAAUUUUCAACUUUGUUAAAAAUUGGAAACUUCUAAUCUUUAUUUUAUAUUGAUAAUGAUAAAAAAGCCUUAAAUUAAAACUCGUCUUUACAGACAUCUAUUGUGCUUUGUCAACAUGACGUGAUGCUUUUCUAUUCAGCCAUUUUCAAGCUUCCAAACAAUUGAAAUAGAAAAGAGGAAAAUAUUUUAUGGCAACAUAUAUAUCAUUCGUAAAACCGAU